rnacentral:piRNA from 1 species
GAGACUGAAUCAAAAGGGGGCC